rnacentral:rRNA from 1 species
UACGUAGGGCGCAAGCGUUGUCCGGAAUUAUUGGGCGUAAAGAGCUCGUAGGCGGCUUGUCACGUCGGGUGUGAAAGCCUGGGGCUUAACCCCGGGUCUGCAUUCGAUACGGGCUAGCUAGAGUGUGGUAGGGGAGAUCGGAAUUCCUGGUGUAGCGGUGAAAUGCGCAGAUAUCAGGAGGAACACCGGUGGCGAAGGCGGAUCUCUGGGCCUUACCUGACACUGAGGAGCGAAAGCGUGGGGAGCGAACAGG